CAUUAAUGAAAAACAAAAAUGUCAUAAAAAUACAACUAAAAAAAUAAACCAGCUACAAAGCCAUGAAAAAAGGUGGUACCCACUUGACUGAAAAAAGCCAUUUUCAAUCACCACUUCAAUCACUUCUUAAAGAGUGAAGGAGCCACGAAGAUAUUCCUGAGAGCAAGCUCUACAAUAUGCGGACAAUCACCAAGAAGGCCCUAUCACACAUGCUUGAGAACUCUGGAGUCAUCAUUAUGAAAGUACAAGAAGGGCUACAAUUCACUUUCUUUUCAAAACCAAAGUGCCUAGGAUGGUUAAGCAAGAAAACAUAUAAAAGAAAGUUCAUCAAUUUAUUGGUUGAUCAUUAUCAUAGGUGAUGUGGUCUUACAAUUAAGAUGGGGAUAGGAGGCACUGCUUUGCAGUGGUUCUGCUCCUUUCUCAUAGGCAGAUUCCAGUUGGUGGAGCUUGGUGAUGGUUGCUCUUCGAAAUGGGAUCUAUUAUAUGGAGUCUCCUCAGGGCUCCAUUCUGUCACCAGUGCUUUUUAGUAAGUAACUGUCAGCAUGCAAGUGAAAUACAGCCAAUGGGCUCCCUUCUCUGAUGUGGUUAUCUAAAUUGAAACCAAUAAGCAGAAGAGGAUUUGCCCCUCGGUUACGUAUUUGAUGAAAAAAGAAACACCUAUGUGGAUUUUUGAACAGGAAUAAUUGAGGGACCAAACGGGUCAGUCUCUUAUUAAUGAGAUACAAACCUUUUCAACUCAGAGCUUCUCAGCUAACCCGAAGCAGGAACAACAGAUCCUUGAGUCCAGCCAGAUAUCCAUACACCCAAGGCAGCACAUGAAUCCAAACAACUUCAUUACAGUCUGAAUCUGUGCCCAUCAAUGAACUAUAUGAGAAUCUGCAAUGGCACCAGUUUUGUGAACUUCUUUCUUUCUGUUGCUGUUUCCUGUCCAAAAAUAAGUGGUAUCCUUCCUGUUGCCAGGCAACUGCUAUAGAGAGUGAAGUAGGAAGAAUGUGCUAGAGAGAAAGGAAGGAGUUGAGACUAAAGAGGCUAAACUUCCACUCUUGUUUUUGUGAAUGUCUUAUUCUUUCUCUCGGACAUCUGAUAGCUUUGAUAAUACUCCUUUCCUACAUUAGUAUCAUCACCAAAUCCAUUUUCAUUUGGACUAGGUAUGUCCUAUGUUUUUCCUGUUGGUUGAACUAAUAAAAUCAGCAUGUGCUUUAGUUAAAAAUUGGUUCCAGCUCUGACUUUAAGAACUGCAUUUAGCUAACAAACCAAUAGGGAACAUAUGAUCAAUCAUAUAGAUAUUUGUCCAGGUUAGGUGUCUCUGUUAAUUUUUCCCAAUUGCCCCCAUACUACUUCUGGUAGGAUUUGCUAUCAUUAAAUGCAAUAAUGACCUAGAAGUGAAAAAUUGGUCUCACCAUUGUAAUUUUGACAACAAAAAAAUUAUUCAAGUGGAUGAGACAGCCAAGGGGUUUUUUUAGUCAUCGACUGUUCAUAUGGAAGCCACACAGAUGUUCAUGAAAAAUGCUAGUCUUCAAAAUGUUGAGCAGAAAAUAUUUCCUAAAAACAGAGAGAAAAUUAUUUCCUUUCUUGCCCAUUAUGUCAAAUAAUUCAUACCCUAAUGGACUAUUCUUGUGGUUUACUGAGAUAAAGAACCAUGGCAUAUAACUUGAAAUGCAGUUCUAUGGUAAGAGAUAACUUCAUUGUCCUUUAUAUUUUCUCCAUUGAAAUGUACAUCUUCCAUGUUCUUAUGCUGGGAGAUUGCCAUGCACAUGACAUUUACUAUUUAUGAUGGAUUUCUCAAGAGGAAUCUGGGUUAUGCUACCUCUGUGCUAAUCACUAUGUUGUGGUUAAUCACCACUGCCAAUUAAAAUGCAUUAGCAAGGAUGGUUUCCAAGAGCUACAUUCUAGAUGUGUUAAUGAACAAUUAAAAUAAGA